UACGUAGGGUGCAAGCGUUAAUCGGAAUUACUGGGCGUAAAGCGUGCGCAGGCUGCUUUGCAAGACAGAUGUGAAAUCCCCGGGCUUAACCUGGGAACUGCAUUUGUGACUGCAUGGCUGGAGUGCGGCAGAGGGGGAUGGAAUUCCGCGUGUAGCAGUGAAAUGCGUAGAUAUGCGGAGGAACACCGAUGGCGAAGGCAAUCCCCUGGGCCUGCACUGACGCUCAUGCACGAAAGCGUGGGGAGCAAACAGG
rnacentral:rRNA from 1 species